UGAUAAUUGUGAUGUUUGCUCUAUAACAUAUAUACAUGAACCUUGAGACUGUGAUAUAUAAUCAUGGACGGAGACACAUUUAGAAAGAUCCUGUCGUACUGCAUUUUAUUAUUGAAUACAAAGAAAAACAAGACACGUGUAUAAAUGCAUUGCUUCAAAACUACUCUUAGUAGCCUCAGUAAGAAGACACUUAUCCACAGCAAAAUAUUACAACCCCCUUUUUUUAAAGAAACAUAGCAUUUGAAAUAAAUACGUUUGGAUGAUAACAUCUUGCUGAUUGCAUUGGGGGCAAUGCACUUUCACACUAUUUACAGUUUAAAUCUGACUAAAUAAUCAUCACCGUCUCACAGACCCUCAGUGCUCACAGAAACUGUUGCCCUUUACAUUCAAACCUCAUCCCUUCAUCGUCACAUUCUAUUUUUAAAUGUGCUUUUGUCAAGGAACCAAAAGUGAAAACUACACAUUUUUCCCAUUACCAGAAUGUACAGUGUACUGUAUACUGUAUAAAGACAGGACAAUGUACCAGAUAUAACUUGGUGUCAAACAGAAUAUGAAUGUGACCAACAUGUCCCUCUUGAAGGUGACAUAAAGUAGACUAUACAGGUUACAUAAAGUAGACUAUACAGGUUACAUAGAGUAGACUAUACAGGUUACAUAAAGUAGACUGUACAGGUUACAUAAAGUAGACUAUACAGGUUACAUAGAGUAGACUAUACAGGUUACAUAAAGUAGACUAUACAGGUUACAUAAAGUAGACUAUACAGGUUACAUAGAGUAGACUGUACAGGUUACAUAAAGUAGACUAUACAGGUUACAUAGAUUAGAUUAUACAGGUUACAUAAAGUAGACUAUACAGGUCACAUAAAGUAGACUAUAGAGGUCACAUAAAGUAGACUAUACAGGCUACAUAAAGUAGACUAUACAGGUUACAUAGAGUAGACUAUACAGGUUACAUAGAGUAGACUAUACAGGCUACAUAAAGUAGACUAUACAGGUUACAUAAAGUAGACUAUACAGGUUACAUAGAGUAGACUAUACAGGUUACAUAAAGUAGACUAUACAGGUUACAUAGAGUAGACUAGACAGGUUACAUAAAGUAGACUAUACAGGCUACAUAAAGUAGACUAUACAGGUUACAUAGAGUAGACUAUACAGGUUACAUAAAGUAGACUAUACAGGUUACAUAAAGUAGACUAUACAGGUUACAUAAAGUAGACUGUACAGGUUACAUAAAGUAGACUAUACAGGCUACAUAGAGUAGACUAGACAGGUCACAUAAAGUAGACUAUACAGGUUAAAUAAAGUAGACUAUAGAGGUCACAUGAAGUAGACUAUAGAGGUCACAUAAAGUAGACUAUACAGGCUACAUAAAGUAGACUAUACAGGUUACAUAAAGUAGACUAUACAGGUUACAUAAAGUAGACUAUAGAGGUCACAUAAAGUAGACUAUAGAGGUCACAUAAAGUAGACUAUACAGGCUACAUAAAGUAGACUAUACAGGUUACAUAGAGUAGACUAUACAGGUUACAUAAAGUAGACUAUACAGGCUACAUAAAGUAGACUAUACAGGUUACAUAGAGUAGACUGUACAGGUUACAUAAAAUAGACUAUACAGGUUACAUAAAGUAGACUAUACAGGUUACAUAGAGUAGACUAUAGAGGUCACAUAAAGUAGACUAUACAGGUUAAAUAAAGUAGACUAUAGAGGUCACAUAAAGUAGACUAUACAGGUUACAUAAAGUAGACUAUACAGGCUACAUAAAGUAGACUAUACAGGUUACAUAGAGUAGACUGUACAGGCUACAUAAAGUAGACUAUACAGGUUACAUAGAGUAGACUAUACAGGUUACAUAAAGUAGACUAUGCAGGCUACAUAAAGUAGACUAUACAGGUUACAUAGAGUAGACUAUACAGGUUACAUAAAGUAGACUAUAGAGGUCACAUAAAGUAGACUGUACAGGUUACAUAAAAUAGACUAUACAGGCUACAUAGAUUAGAUUAUACAGGUUACAUAAAGUAGACUAUACAGGUUACAUAAAGUAGACUAUAGAGGUCACAUAAAGUAGACUGUACAGGUUACAUAGAUUAGAUUAUACAGGUUACAUAAAGUAGACUGUACAGGUUACAUAAAGUAGACUAUACAGGUUACAUAAAGUAGACUAUACAGGUUACAUAAAGUAGACUAUACAGGUUACAUAAAGUAGACUAUACAGGUUACAUAAAGUAGACUAUACAGGUUACAUAAAGUAGACUAUACAGGUUACAUAGAGUAGACUAUAGAGGUCACAUAAAGUAGACUAUACAGGCUACAUAAAGUAGACUAUACAGGUUACAUAGAGUAGACUGUACAGGUUACAUAAAGUAGACUAUACAGGUUACAUAGAGUAGACUAUACAGGUUACAUAGAGUAGACUAUACAGGUUACAUAAAGUAGACUAUACAGGUUACAUAGAGUAGACUAUACAGGUUACAUAAAGUAGACUAUACAGGUUACAUAAAGUAGACUAUACAGGUUACAUAAAGUAGACUAUACAGGUUACAUAAAGUAGACUA
ensembl:lncRNA